UACGUAGGCAGCGAGCGUUGUUCGGAAUUCCUGGGCGUAAAGAGUGUGUAGGCGGUGUUCCCAGUCUGUUGUGAAAUCUCCCGGCUUAACUGGGAGGGUGCAGCGGAAACUAGAAUGCUAGAGGGUGGGAGAGGUAAGCGGAAUUCCUGGUGUAGCGGUGAAAUGCGUAGAUAUCAGGAGGAACACCUGUGGUGUAGACAGCUUACUGGACCACUUCUGACGCUGAGACACGAAAGCGUGGGUAGCAAACAGG
rnacentral:rRNA from 1 species